AUGAUGGCGACGACGAGCGUCUGCACAGGCUGGUACACCGCCACGAACACCGGCCCCCCGUGGUCGAUGCACCAGAUCUGCACGGCGAACGCCACGCCGGACGCGAUGAAGCCCUCGUAGAGGAUGGUGAAGAUUUCGGAGCCGAAGUGGAAAACCCACGCGCCGGCGUCCCUCUCGAAGAAGGCGGCGAUGACGAGGAACUGGAUGACACCGAAGAAGCAGGUGUAG
rnacentral:rRNA from 1 species